UACGUAGGGUGCGAGCGUUGUCCGGAAUUAUUGGGCGUAAAGGGCUCGUAGGCGGUCUGUCACGUCGGGAGUGAAAACUCAGGGCUUAACCCUGAGCCUGCUUCCGAUACGGGCAGACUAGAGGUAUGCAGGGGAGAACGGAAUUCCUGGUGUAGCGGUGAAAUGCGCAGAUAUCAGGAGGAACACCGGUGGCGAAGGCGGCAUCCUGGACCGACACUGACGCUGAGGAGCGAAAGCCAGGGGAGCAAACGGG
rnacentral:rRNA from 1 species